GAAAUGCGAUACUUGGUGUGAAUUGCAGAAUCCCGUGAACCAUCGAGUUUUUGAACGCAAGUUGCGCCCGAAGCCAUUAGGCCGAGGGCACGCCUGCCUGGGCGUCACGCGCUCCGUCGCCCCGCAACCCCGAACCCCGAAACGGGCCAGGGCGCUUGUGGUGCGGACAUUGGUCUCCCGUGUGCCUUGCUCGCGGCUGGCCUAAAAUUGAGUCCCGGACGCUCUGUUCUGCGGCCGACGGUGGUUGAGAAGCCCUCGAAAACGUGCCGCUGCAGUGCUGCCCGAUGCGGACCCCUUGACCCUUGCGCUACCUCUCCCAUCUGGGUGAGGGAGCUCCAUCUGCGACCCCAGGUCAGGCGGGGCUACCCGCUGAAUUUAA
rnacentral:misc_RNA from 1 species